AGGUCCAGGCUGUCCAGCUACGGGAUGAUGAAUAAUGUGUGGGAUGCUUGUAUAAUUGUGUCUGUAUUUCCAUUUUCGUGGGAAGAUUGCAAGCAAUUUGGGCACUAAGAGAAUGGUCUUCAGGCGACACUAUACAAGACCAGGCUGCUGCAGUUAGGCUAGCUCUAUUGAAAGCUGGAAGUCAAGGCUGGAGGAGCAUCAGAAUGGAACUGGAUAACCGCAAGCUGGUAGAUGCCAUAAAGGGAGCAAGGCUCAACAAUCAGCAGAUGGCUACAUUAAUAGAGGACAUUAGAUCAAUCUGUACUUUGUUUCAUCAGUGCUCCAUCUUUUUUGCCAACUCUAGGAAAUUAGAAUGUAUUAAGCUAAGCAUUUAUGCUCUAAACAUCUGGAUAGAUGAAGAAUGGGUGAAUCCCAAUCUUAGAUGCUAGGCAUCAGUGUUCUUGUGGGGCAGCUUCUCCGUUUUGAUUGGACCUUUGUCCAAAUAU